rnacentral:antisense_RNA from 1 species
CCUUUCCCCUUUCUCCUUGGGCUAAGCCAGAUCAGAAAGGGCCCCGUGCGCAACGUGCUUCACAAUCUCUCAGGCAAAGCGGCCAACGUGGCGCUACUCCGCCUCCCCUGUUCCUUACCGGUGGGGCGGCCGCCAUGUUUCCUGAACACAAAAUGGCGACACGUGAGGAAGACACUUAAAGAUGAAGUGCUUAAUUCAAGGUCACAGAAUGUCGGGGAUGGACCUCCAGAUUUCCUUACUGGUGAGACGUGGUCUUGUAACACAGUGGUUAAGAAUGUGACUUUGGAGCCAGCCUGCUAGGGGCUGAAUUCUGACUCAGCCAUUUAUUAACUGUGUGACCUUAGGUCAUAGAAUUUUCCACACUCCUUGACGGAGGUUCUUAACCCUUAUCCAUCAGCAUUCUCAGACAGCACCUCCGGUUAGGGACAGUAUCUGACCGUCCGACAUCCCUGCAGCCCCCAUGCUGUCACACAGACUCAGCCUCAGGUAGAUGGUUUCCGUAGAUGGUGGCUUUCUUUGGACCCUUGAUAUCAACCAGUUACUAUUUGACUCUUCUGCAGAACCCCAUGUUGACCCCUGCUUUGAGGUGGCAGCGUUAACACUACUCUUUGUUAUAAGCUCUCGUCUGGGGCAACUCAGGAGAACGGGACCAGAUGUGCAGAGGUAAUGAAUACCAGGGAAUCAGGAAACCACUGGAUCAGUUCUUU